rnacentral:rRNA from 1 species
GACGAACCGUGCAAACGUUGUUCGGAUUCACUGGGCUUAAAGGGCGCGUAGGCGGGUGGUUAAGUCAGGGGUGAAAUCUUUCAGCUUAACUGGAAAAUAGCUUCUGAUACUGGCCGUCUUGAGGGAGGUAGGGGCAUGUGGAACUUCCGGUGGAGCGGUGAAAUGCGUAGAUAUCGGAAGGAACGCCGGUGGCGAAAGCGACGUGCUGGACCUUUUCUGACGCUGAGGCGCGAAAGCCAGGGGAG